CAGGCUGGAGUUUGGGGAUGACAGGCACUGCGCUCAGCCUGCCUUCCUGGGACAGGCUGGUCCCACCCUCCCUGCCACCACCCUGUUACCCUGGGGAAGCUGGCAAAACCUCCCAGGCCCUGUGGCUGCAACACUAACCUAAUCACCCCUCGCGGCAGGGGAAGGUGCAGCCUGACGUUGAGAGCUUGGCUGCCAAGAAGAGAGGAACAGAGUCAGCCCCGGGAAGUCAGUGACUCGUCCCCCCUCUUCAUUAACGCCACUAGCGCAGGUGUUACACCCACCCCCCUUCCCAGCCUUCCUGUCUAACUGAAUGGGAUUCCGAAGCUGACGGACGCAUCCGAAGGGGGAAGCAACAGGAUGGAAAGUGCUAGGCCAGCCCAAUCCUGACCUCGCCCUGAGGGGGCUGCAAGCGGAGGAUUCGAUGAGACUCAAACUCCUCAAGGAGCACUGAGCUGUGAAAUGAGACCUCAUCCACCCGGAUUCCUGGGCCGUAACCUGGAGGGAAAGAAAGUGUCCUCUCCUAACGCACGUUGUGGGUGAGAAGAGCAGCAAGGUGGUAGCUGGGGGAAAACCCAUCUCUGUUCCAUGAAACUUUUGGUGGCAACCUGUACCUAGGAGAGAAGGACCCCUUUUCUUCUCACCUCUCAGUUCUGACUUCCCCACACAAAACUCUUCUGUCAGGCCAAUGCGCAUCUCUGUCACAGAAAAGAACAGAAAAGGCCACCAGAUACCAACAUUCACAUACCACCAAGGAGCCCGUUCCAAACCCGACCCUGGGCUAAGCCUGCAGACUUCUCACCAGAGCCACUGGGAAGAAAGCUCUUGAGCCGGAUCUCUCCCUGCACGUCUACCUUCAGCAGCGAGCCCUAAGAAGAACGGAGAGAUCAAUGUCCCGAGGAAAAACUCAGAGGGUCUGAUGCAUCUCACCUGGUCAGAGCGGCUGGACAGGACAGGGCGGCUGGCUGCACUGCUGGGGGCCACUUUGCUCUGCUGUGUCUCAGCCCCAAACUGUAA